UUUAGUUCUGCCAAAGGAAGAGACAGAGGGAAUGUGGUCAUGACCAGCCUUCUCAAACUCCCACGGAGACCACAGAAGAUGCAAUUUCAAUGCUUUUAGCUACCCAGGACCCCAAAUCCUAAAAAUGCAUUUAAGGCACUGCAAGAUGUGGGUAAAACUUAUGCAAGAGGCACAAAAAUAGAGCCCUGUAUCCACAGCAACACAAGCACACAAGAACUCCAGCACGUCCCUUUUUCGAGGCCACAGCAAAGCUCUCCCCACAGCUAAGGAUAGAUGCCCAAAGGGAAAAAAGCAUUUCAGAAACACUUUCCUACCCCCUUUGGAGGGGAAGGCCUCCACACCUCCUGCCUUGUGCCACCUUCCCGUUUUCCCAAGGGGCCGUCUGCCCUGCCAGGAGCGCAGCACCACGGCGAUGAAUCCGUGUUUUCCACUGCAAGGAGGAACAUGACUCACAGUCCCCACCAGGACCCAGUGACUUGUGGUAUCCAAAGCAAACACAGCCAGUGAGACUUUUCAACAAACAGUCAACAAUCUCCUGCUAGCUGUCCACCCCAAGACAUGCCACAGCUUAAGGUUUUUCCCUCACUUUGUCCCUUGCCGUUGCCUUUCCUCAUUCUUUCUCAAAGAGGACAGUUAAAAGCCUGAGCCUCACUUUCCCACCCAAGCUAAGCCUAGAAGAGUCUGUGGAGAUCUGAACAUCUUCCUCAGCUUCCAUCACACAUCACACGUCCCAGUGCCUGUUGGAUGAUGCUGCUAGGAAUAUCCAGAAAGAAACUAAAUUCUCACCUCCUUCAGUAAACUGCAUUGAUUUUAGUGAUUUUAGUGAUUUUAGUAACCCCAUCUCCCCUGUAGAGCUGGGGAGGGGAACAGCUUUGCCCAAGUCCCACAGUGAGCAACACAGGAGCUCCUUGCUGUGUCAAAGAGGAGACUUAGGGACUCAGCUCCAGCAUCAGGAAGCCAGCCACAAGCCCACAGGCACCAGCUUCAUCACACAGCCUGACAGUCUCCGUUGUCACUUGUCCUGAGUAACUCAGGAGUUUGGGAGGAGGAGGAGGAGAGCAGGCAGUGACAAUCCUCUGGGCUGCAACACUGGGGGGGGCAGACAGGUGAGUUCAGCAUCCUCAGGCAUCAUCGGGAAGGGCACUGACACACAUCCUUCACUGACACUAGAGGACUUCAAGCCUUUCCCUCAUCCCCACAUGGCCACCACACACAGAUUGUGGACAGCUGGUAUCAGCAAAGAACAAUCUGCAAUGAGUUUUUAACCUUUGCUGACAUGAUCUUCAAGAGCAGCAACUUGUUUUGCAGUACCUGUAAAGGAGGUAGAGAGUGGGUCUGAAACUACUUCAUUCCAGCCAUCAAACAGCAAUCACACAUUAAUGACUUUCAGUUUAUUCCCUGUGGUACCUGGUUCAGAUUUGUGAAACCAGGAAUGCUUGCUAAUAUGUUUUCAGAUUAAAUGAACCUUUCCUUUUCUUAAUGUAUGUGCCUAAAAAUAACAGGAGUUGCACAGUCAUGUCAAGAGAUUAAAUUACCCUAAAGUCUGGAGAGGGAUUACAGCUGUCUGAAAACAAUAGGUGCAUACUUUAUUCAGCAAUGGUGUGCUUAGUCAAGACAAAUUUGAGUGGUCAUGAAGACUGCUUUGUUUCUCUAUUAGUGCUUGUGAAAAGCUGCAUAAAAACACAGUGCUGUGAAUGGCCUGACAUCCAUGAACAAAUCUUGUUUCAGCAAUCACCCUGCACAAAGCAAACCCGAAAAUCAAUAAAGCCACACAGCAGGUUCCAGGUUUCACUUCCCAAAGGGCUGUCCUGCACAGCAAAGUGUGUGAUGUACAGUCAUGCACACCCAUACCCACAUCUGCCUGACAGUUUAUGUCACAGAGCCAUUAUCCUACCAAACUAAGUCACAGAGUGACAUUUUCCCUUACUGAAUUCUUUGUCUUUGCACUCCUGGUAAUAUUUGCAUAGUUUGAAUCAGGUGCCAGCAUCUCCCAGGAGUGACAGAGGGAUACAGAGGAUCCUCAGGAGGAUCUCAUGGGAGCAAGCCAGCCAUGCUCAGUACUCCUGACCUUCACACCUUAGCAGCAUCACAUGUAAAGCAGGUACUGAGGAAUUUCAGGCACCUUUAGAUAGGAGUGAUAGACAACAAAGAGUUUUAAGGACAGACAUUUGGGUUUUAAGCACCUAACAUGAAAAGUCAGGCUCUGGCUCCAGUCCCUAAUACAUUAACCUGCCACUCAGGGUGGGGCACAUACCAGAUGCUCAGGAGAAACAGGAAAUAACUCUGAAUAUCAGCACAAACCACCAGCCAGACUAGGUUUGGAUUCAGGGGUCAGAGGCAGGUUGGAGAAGUGUAGAGACAACAAGGACAUAUUGCCGAGAAUAAAAAGACAACUGGAUAUGGAAAAAAAGGUGGCAGAAGGAUAAGACAAAGACAUUUGAGUGUUUGCAGGACUCUUGCUUCUCUGGAAUGACAGCCCUGCCCAGUAAGGCCUCUUACCUAUGCAACACAGCACUCCAUCCUGCUCUGUAGGCAGCAGGACCCAAGCAAGCCAAGAAUACAGCACCCAGAACACAGAACACUCUCCAGAGAAAAGAGAAACUUGGUAAGAAGACAUAAUUAAUGUCUGCAAAUACGUGGUGCUCUCACCACUCAAUGACUGGAAAAGGGGUACAGGUGAGAGAGGUGAAAAGGUAUAACAGGUGUCUGCAGAACAACUUUUUCUUUUGAAACCAAGCAAGUGCUUUUGCUACAGAGAUCUGUUGGGAAAGGCACAGUGACAGUACCUACUGCACCAGCCUGCAGCUCCAGAAACCACUGCUGCAUAUUCCUCUAUCUUUGUAUCCAGGCCACUUUCCCACAAAAAAUGAACAACUGUGACCCAGCAGAUCCCUGUGGAACAGCUCUGUGAUUGAGAUCCCCAGGCAAACUAUGCAGAAACUUCAGGCCAUCAACACCAACCUGUACUUCCCCAGCUAAGCAGCUCUCAGGUCAUUUGUGGAGCAGAUUUUGAUGAUCAGAGACAUGAGGAGAAAGCUGGAUGGCAAAGCCCUGGGCUGCAGCACCCAAGAUUGCCCAGCACUUCCAGCAAGCCUCAUAACCAUAAGAUGGGCAGCAGUUAUCCCACACAAGGCUUUAGUUUUUGCUUUAGUGCAAGGAACAAGCAAGACACACCAGCUCCCAGGCUGUGAUUUCAUGGUAGUGCAGCCAGCUUGCUCCCUCCCACCCACUGUGCCAGCCAAGCUUUUGGUGCCAGCUGCAUGAGGAGCAAGACCAGAAAUGGAUCCAGCUGGGGAGAAAGAAAUAUCAACACACAAACCAACAACACAUAAGGGAAGGAGGGAAAUCUCUGCAAGAUCCAUUCUCUACUAUGGUUCCUGAACUAACUUCACCAGCAGUGCCAGGGGCAGGAAUGAGCGGGCUUGCCCAGGAAGAGAAGCACCCAGCUUCUGAUCGUCAACCCCAGGUAUUGCCCAGGUAGGAGUCAACACCAAUCCAGCUGACAGCAGAAGCAAGAUGCCAGAGACCCACAAGAGAUGGUUUCUGAAGCCAUCCUCAUUGCAGUGCUACAGAACCAGCUUGGAGAAAGAACAUCAAGAGAAUAAAAGGCAACUGAAAUCAAUUAAAACACCCUGCUGACUUGUCCUCCCGCACCAGUAACACUCUAAUUCUUUGCUCUGCAUCAGUGCCCAGGAUUCAUCUCCUCCUAAAGGAAAUAAGCUACACCAAGGGCUGUCACAAAUUCACAUGCUAGCAAUUGCAGCUGAGGGACUCAGCUGCAGGGAGGGACAUGCUGGAUCUUUUAAUGAGAAAACAUGAAGUGUUGCUUCUUAGCUGCCCUUGGCAGAUGGCUGUGACACAAGAGAUUUCCCAAAUAGGUGAAGAGAAGGUGAAAGCUCGGCUGUGGUCAGUUGAGUGGCUCUGUGAGCUGAGCCAGUAGAGGUCUCUCUUCCACUAAUAAAAAUAAAUAAAUAUCUAUAUUCAUCUGUGUAUGCAUGUGUCCUCACUUGGGAUCCCUCAGUCUCGACCUAGAAUAAAACAUAUACGUCCAGAAGCCAGCAGCUCAGAUGGGAACAACCAUUUGUUCCAGAAAAAAAAAAAGUUAAAAAAAAUGGAAGUUGGUGUGGUGUACCAGGUUACCAAGCUCAUGGUAUCAACUCCAGGCUUCACACCUGGCAGAAAAAAUUUACAGUGUGGUCAGUCCCAGACCUCAAGCUUUUCUCCCCAAAGCAAGUGAGGACCAGAAAUGUACUUGCUAGGACAUAGACAUCUCUUCCAGCCUGCCCAGGUAGCAGGGGAUAGGAGCCCUUUCUGCACUGGUAGGUGCCUGGUUUCACUCUACGUAGAGCCAGUCAUGACAGAAAGGCUUUAUCAGGCAACAGUUGGAUUUUUGGCCCCCAUGUAAAGAACUGCUGGAUCUUUGUGGGGGAAGAGUCUGGAGCACACAAAAUGGGGCGUCUGCCCACGACUGGAAUCCUUGUUUGAAGACUCAGAUGUGAGGCCAAGGAUAAAACUGGAAUGAAACUAAUGUUCCUGCCUUGCUGUCUCCUCCAAACAGCUGCAGGCGCAGUAGGACGGCCAGGUAUAAAAGCCUGAGCUGGCACAGCCUGUCUUUGCGGAUGGGGAACGCUGAACCACAAGGUGUGCUGCUCCCUGCUUCCACCCAGAGCCGGCCGGCAGGUGCCAAAGCUGCCGGGAGGAGCGG